rnacentral:rRNA from 1 species
AUGCACCACCCUUAAUGCACCCAAUCUUGUCUGAUCUCGGAAGCUAAGCAGGGUCGGACCUGGUUAGUACUUGGAUGGGAGACAAAUUUGUUCUGAUUAAAUAAGGUUGCAUU